rnacentral:misc_RNA from 1 species
UUUUAGGGAGACCUACACCCCUUACAUAUCGAAAAGCAUACAGCUAUAUAGAUAGUAAGUUGGUCUAACCUAGGUCGGUCGCAGACAUUUGCAUAAUGUUAAAAGCUUCAAACU